rnacentral:lncRNA from 1 species
ACACUCAAAAAAUCCCGAUGAAAAUCAGUUACCACUAACUAGAGGAUGGAUGAAUGCUUGCUCUCUUUCAUCAACCUAACUCAUCACAAAACCAUUUUCUCUUUCAAUCAACCGAGGCCCACAUGCACUCCUCAUCUCUAAAUGCUUUGAAGAUGAAAAAAAUCAGAUUUUUAUUGCCAAGUUCCGCAACUUUAGCUUAGAUUUAUUAACAAGAAAAGCAUCGAUGGUGGCCUAAGGGUGGUGUCAGGUGAAAAUAGCUGACUAUUCGGCGUCGGACAUGAUUGUUAUUGACUUGAAUUCAA